rnacentral:rRNA from 1 species
UUUGGCCUACGGGAGGCAGCAGUAGGGAAUUUUGCGCAAUGGGCGAAAGCCUGACGCAGCAACACCGCGUGAAUGUUAAGCCCUUCGGGGUGUAAAGUUCUGUCAAUAGGGACGAAUUUUGACUGUACCUAUAAAGGAAGCACCGGCUAACUCCGUGCCAGCAGCCGCGGUAAUACGGGGGGUGCAAGCGUUGUCCGGAAUCAUUGGGCGUAAAGCGUUCGUAGGCGGCAAGGUAAGUCUGAUAUUAAAGCCCGGGGCUCAACUCCGGUUCGGCAUUGGUUACUAUCUAGCUAGAAUGUGGUAGG